AACUAUGCGGUGAGGUAGCCUUGGCUAACAAACUACAACCUACUGGCUCAUGCACUGCCACCAGUACUCCAAUUGGAUGGGAAAAUAAAAUAACAGCUUUUAAUGAACAUUUUUCUCUACUACAUUUUUCAUAUAAGAGGUUGUUUACAUCACAUCUAAACUGUCAUCCAGCUUUAUGAAAUUCUGUAUCCAGAAACUCACAACAAAUUCUAGGACUCCUUCGUGAAGGACACACAAAAGAGAUACCUUUCGAGAAAUAAGAAAUCAGUGGAAGCUGCAAAGGU